UGGGGAAUAUUGCACAAUGGGCGCAAGCCUGAUGCAGCGACGCCGCGUGAGGGAUGGAGGCCUUCGGGUUGUAAACCUCUUUCGCCAGUGAAGCAGGCCAUCUUCUUUGUGGGGUGGUUGACGGUAGCUGGAUAAGAAGCGCCGGCUAACUACGUGCCAGCAGCCGCGGUCAUACGUAGGGCGCGUGCGUUGUCCGGAAUUAUUGGGCGUAAAGAGCUCGUAGGCGGCUGGUCGCGUCUGUCGUGAAAUCCCCUGGCUUAACUGGGGGCUUGCGGUGGGUACGGGCCGGCUUGAGUGCGGUAGGGGAGACUGGAAUUCCUGGUGUAGCGGUGGAAUGCGCAGAUAUCAGGAGGAACACCGGUGGCGAAGGCGGGUCUCUGGGCCGUUACUGACGCUGAGGAGCGAAAGCGUGGGGAGCGAACAGG
rnacentral:rRNA from 1 species